rnacentral:rRNA from 1 species
UACAGAGGGUGCGAGCGUUAAUCGGAAUUACUGGGCGUAAAGCGCGCGUAGGCGGCUCAGUAAGUCAGGUGUGAAAACUCCAGGCUCAACCUGGAGACGCCACUUGAUACUGCUGUGGCUAGAGUCCGGUAGGGGAGCAUGGAAUUCCUGGUGUAGCGGUGAAAUGCGCAGAUAUCAGGAGGAACACCAGUGGCGAAGGCGGUGCUCUGGGCCGGAACUGACGCUGAGGAGCGAAAGCGUGGGGAGCAAACGGG